rnacentral:rRNA from 1 species
CGUAGGGUGCGAGCGUUGUCCGGAAUUAUUGGGCGUAAAGGGCUCGUAGGCGGUCUGCUACGUCGGGAGUGAAAACUCGGGGCUCAACCCCGAGCCUGCUUCCGAUACGGGCAGACUAGAGGUAUGCAGGGGAGAACGGAAUUCCUGGUGUAGCGGUGAAAUGCGCAGAUAUCAGGAGGAACACCGGUGGCGAAGGCGGUUCUCUGGGCAUUACCUGACGCUGAGGAGCGAAAGUGUGGGGAGCGAACAGGAUUAGAUACCCUGGUAGUCCACACCGUAAACGUUGGGCGCUAGGUGUGGGACUCAUUCCACGAGUUCCGUGCCGCAGCUAACGCAUUAAGCGCCCCGCCUGGGGAGUACGGCCGCAAGGCUA